rnacentral:lncRNA from 10 species
UUGAAAAGUCAACAAAUUGAGCUGAAAGUUGGUUACUUCCUGAAGGAGACUUGAGGAGAAAAGGAGAGAUGUUGGAAUGAACAAGCAGUCCAUGGAGCAGUUACACACACUCAUCAAUUAAGUUUGCUGUCUUAUAUGAGGGAAAUUCAUGGUACCCCAAAACAAUUACCAUAGUAACAUUAAAUAACACUGAUCAGAGACCACCAUAAUGAUAUAAUAAUGAUGAAAGAGUUUGAAAUACUUCAAGAAUUACCAAAAUGUGGCACAAAGACCCAAAAGAAGCACAUGCUGUUGAAAAAAUGACAAUAGACUUGCUCGAUGCAGGGUUGCAACAAACCUUCAAUUUGUAAAAAAUGCAUUAUCUAUGAAGCACAAUAAAGUGAAGUAAAAUUAAAUGAGGUAUGCCUGUUUGUAUUUACCUAUGUAAUUAUCAUUUUCCAUGCUCUUCAUUUCUUUGUGUAAAUCCAGUAUUGCC